GAAGCAGCGAUGAGUUGAGUCGGACGGCAUCAGAGCAGGAAAAGGAACUUUUCACUGUUUAUAAAUUUAACAUGACUUCAUGCUUUAUAAUCGUAAAACUGGGAUUUAUCCUCAGAUUCUAAUGCUGCCAUUCAAAUCUUUCAUCGUUGCAUCCCUAAGUCUAUAUUUCACACAUUUUCCACUCAUAUGGAAACUAAGGCCACAUAAAAAUGUAAACUCGAUGAACUGUAACCACGACGUCGAAGCCACUGAAAUAUUUAAACCAUGUCUGAGUUGAAGUUGUUUUCUCGGAUCCAAAAAUGCAGAUCCAGGCAUGUGGAGGUUCAUUUUUACUAAACUGAUUGUGUUUGUUCAGGUGCUGCCGGCCCGCGGCUCUUCACCAUCCACCAGAUCGAUGCCAGCACCAACAACCUGCCCAAAGCGCACACCUGUUUCAACCGGAUCGACAUUCCUCCGUACGAGCACUACGACAAACUGUACGACAAGUUGCUCACUGCCAUCGAGGAGACGUGCGGCUUCGCCGUCGAGUGAGUCGCCCCCCUGCGCUCUCGCAGAGACGAGGAAACAACCAGAAACAACAUGGUUUGGCCGUGAUGAACCUCCCCUCCUCCUACAAAUCAAUCCACUCAGACAGAGCGAGGGCAGAGGGGAGGGGGGGUCAUCCACGGAUGCUUCACCCAGGGGACGCCUAUACUUCCUGGGGUCGUGGCUAAGCUAAAGGAGGGUGGGCAGAGAAGGCCAGAACAUGUCAUGUUGCUUUUCUUUUUUUUUUUUUUUUAAAGAGCCUCCAGCCCUCCUUUAUCUUUUUUUUUUUUAUCAUUGAAAAGGAUCUUCAGCUGCUAAUAACUCAAGACUAUUUACUAACUUACGGAACCUGCAAAAAUUUUGCUGGCUCUUCCCUUUUUUUUUUUCUAAGUUCAUUUUAGCAUUAAAAGAAAAAUAAA